CUUAAUGCUUCUAUCAAUUGAAUAAUCUAGGGGCCUUAAUCCGACUAUGAGUAACCCGCUUCGAUUUUAGUCAGACUAAGGUGUAUAAAUGCAUCUUAAUAUUCCAAUCAUAGUCGGACUAAGCCAAUAAUUAGAUUUUCAUGUAAACGUACUGACUGGCCACACAUUUGUCAAAAUAUUGUAGUUUUGCUUUUUAAAGCAUUAUUGAAAUUAAACAUUUGUUUUCACAAAUGUAUCAGUUUAGGAAAGGAAAACAAAAAUAAUUCGAUUUGAAGAAUUCUGACAUUGCCAAAUUUUACAUUGAUGGUUGACUGCUAGAGCAACAAUAUCUAGUUGACACGAAAAGCCCCUACCAUUUUUCAUUCACACCGAACAGGAAGGAACGGGAAGCCAGCAGGAAGUGUCUGCUGUGUCGAGAUAGGAAGACUUCCUGGGGUCUUUUUGGAGAGGGACAGGAGAAAAGAAUGACCUGAUUUUCUUUGGUUUGUUUAACCAGUUGGAAGCUGCUCAAUAACUACUCAAUAACCUAAAAUUAAAAAAAACAUUAGCAUUUUGAGUAGAUCUAAAGAUGUUAGUAAACGUUCUCAAACUAUUGUGUCCCUUUAAGUGUACCCCCUUUUUCAUUUCAAAUAAAAAAAGGAAAAAUGGAGGUUUGAGGGUGAGGUCUCCAUAGUUGCAGCCCAUGACAACUUUGUGAGCCUUUUUCUAAGCUAGUAGCAUUGUUGUGUUGGAGCGUUAAAAUGAGCGAUGUAUUUAAAAUACACCAUAUACUAAAAGUGUCUGAGAGGCCUAACCCUCUCUUGGACACAGCCAUCAAAAUUAAAUGCUUCAAAAAGAGAGCUCCACAAACAGCGUGCAUUAGCCUAUCAAUGUGGUGUCACGAAUGGAUGGGGACUUAAGCAGAGUACAUUUUUUAGUAUUGUGUAUUGUGCAUAAUAUAAUAGAUUCCCACUUAUCUAGCACAUGAUAUGUGGGAGA